rnacentral:rRNA from 1 species
UACGUAGGGGGCGAGCGUUGUCCGGAUUUAUUGGGCGUAAAGGGCGUGUAGGCGGUUCGUUAAGUCUGAUGUGAAAGCCCCGGGCUCAACCCGGGAAGUGCAUUGGAAACUGGCGAACUUGAGUACGGGAGAGGGCAGUGGAAUUCCUAGUGUAGGAGUGAAAUCCGUAGAUAUUAGGAGGAACACCGGUGGCGAAGGCGGCUGCCUGGACCGAUACUGACGCUGAGACGCGAAAGCGUGGGGAGCAAACAGG